AUGGAUUGAAUAGGACGGCAUACUUUUGUUUUAGGAUCCAGAGUGUAUUUGUGAAUCCAGUGUGAAUUAUGAGUAAGCAAAUUAUGAGUGAUUAACAUUUUUUCUAGCACUGAACACGUUGAGUACAAGAUGUAAAAUGAUUUAACAGGCAUUCUAGGCUUUGAUUUGCCAUAGUUCAAGAUUCUGUUGUAGGAUAAUUGGUG